UACAGAGGGUGCGAGCGUUAAUCGGAAUUACUGGGCGUAAAGCGCACGUAGGCGGCUUGGUAUGUCGGGUGUGAAAUCCCCGGGCUCAACCCGGGAACUGCAUCCGAAACUGCCUUGCUAGAGUAUGGGAGAGGGAAGUGGAAUUUCCGGUGUAGCGGUGAAAUGCGUAGAUAUCGGAAGGAACAUCAGUGGCGAAGGCGACUUCCUGGACCAAUACUGACGCUCAGGUGCGAAAGCGUGGGGAGCAAACAGG
rnacentral:rRNA from 1 species